rnacentral:lncRNA from 1 species
GUUAUUUGACUGGAGUGAGGUCUCAUGUCUGCUUAUGCGGUGGCUCGCUGCUCAGAACAGGGAACCAUUGGAGAUACUCAUUACUCUUUGAAGGCUUACAGUGGAAUGAAUUCAAAUACGACUUAUUUGAGGAAUUGAAGUUGACUUUAUGGAGCUGAUAAGAAUCUUCUUGGAGAAAAAAAGACUGGAUCUUUCAUUGUAGUACUUCUGAAUUAACCAAAAUCACAGUAUUCUGAAGAUGAUUCUACAAAGCCUGCUGUUUCUACAAAGGCUGCUGAUGAUUUCUACAAAGCCUGCUGUAGUGUUGCUGUGGCCUCUGCUUAAAAAAGUAGAAAACACAUUGAUGCAGCAUGUUCACCCCAACCUCCCUGCCUAAAGGCUCAGGGACCAUCUUGGAAGAGGAAGGCGCGUGAGAUUGUAAGAGCCGAAUUAGGGGGAUGGAGUGUGGAGAAUAAGGACACUUCAUCUUGGAUGCUCACCUGCCAAAUUGACUUCUGAUGAAAGCCAGCUCCAGAAAUGUGCCUACAGUUACUACUUUCACCUAAACCCUGCCCUUAGUCAAAUCCUUCUCUUCUUCUAAGCAAUCAACUUCAAUUCCUUGUAUAACCCACAGUAUAAAAGGGCUUUUAUACCAUUCUAUCCUAUUGCAUGUAAGCCUUGGGUCUGGGAGGUAACAGUGUGGGAUUCCACCAUCUCAUCUCCCUGCCACCCAAACAUGCCUGCUCUUCUUUAAGCAAUAUUAAAUGUUUGUACUUCAGAAA